rnacentral:lncRNA from 1 species
GUUGGAAAGAGGAGUGGCUGGAAUGUGUGGAGCUAAUGUAAUUCCAGGCUGACAAGCAUCCCUUGGACAUCUGGAUGAGGUUGCUGUAAUUAGUACCUCAGAAGCUGCUUUAACUUAUGCUGUGGCUCACAUUAGCCCCUGGAGCAGUCUGGAAUUUGGGAGGUGCAACAUGGAAUCUGAUCCAUUCUCUCCAGUGAGAACAGCUGCAUAAAGUUUCUUCGGAAGCUGGCUAUUUUCAGUCCCGGUUUUGGCCACAGAGAAUAGUUGAACUAUGUAGGAAUGUCCUUUUGUAGGAAAUGUAGCUGUCAGAGCAUUUGCCACUACCUCCAGAUGUAUUGUUUAUGAUUGUAACAAGCCAAAAUAUGAAGCAGAAUUAAUCAGGCAAGAGCUGGCUUUCAGGUGCAGCAAGCUGAUUUUAAGUUAAUGUGACUUAGAAUGGAGAGGGACAAUUUUGGUCAUCUUGAGAACAGGCUAAAAGCAGCACUGACAAAUGCUUCUCUCGGCAAUAUGUUUUGGAAGAUGGGGAAAAUAUUACAUUGCUCUAGUGAUUGUUGCGGAAGGCACUUGCAAAUAUCUUUGAAGGUUAAAAACUGAACUUGCUCCAGUGGACAUCUGUGAAUGAAAGUCUGCCAAAAGUGAUGGCAAAUGGUUGAGUACUUUAGUUACUAUAAUGUGAUGUUAUAAUGUUAUAUAGUCAUAUAAUAUGCACAUGAGUGUGUGUGAAAAGUGUUUACAUGGCCAUCUUGAAAGUUCCUUCUAACUUGGAAGUCAUCCAAACAAAGAGCAGAAAUAAACCACAUGGGCAUGUCCA